GUAGAAGGGGACAGAAAAGCUGAGAACAAAUCCAACUCAUAUCACUUACAUGCAGCACAGUGCCUGAAAAUCCUACUGCCCAGGUGUGGUGGGGGGUUGCACGGGCUCCAAAUGACCGUGUUUACAGAUCUAUUCAUGCCCAGACAUGUUGUCCCCUCGAAAGGUGUUGCCCUGCCUAAGCUUGGGCAAAACAAGUUAAGAGGGACAAAGGGGGAUGAUAGAACUGGUGCCUUCGAGUCUGGGUUGCCUGCUUGGAGGUUGAAGCAAACAGGUUAUGUAAGCUCACACGCCUAGGGUGGGGAUCCGCAUGAGCCCUCUCCAUAUCUGGGGGUACCAGACCCCCAGACUUCGCCUUAUUUGGUAUGUUUUGGCCUGCUGCCAAGCCCUCAUUGGGUGGAAUUGUGGCCCAAGGACCAUCAAUCUCGGAAUCAAAACUCAUAAAAAGGGACAAUUCAGUGUCCCUGCUACCUCGCUCCUCGCUACCUCUCCUGCCACCCUCUACCACCCACCUGCUGCUGCUAGCCGCUUCCAGCCGCUUUCGGGGACCACCGCCGCUGCAUGACUCCAGCCCACGGCACCAGCCCAGGGGACUGACCAAGGCGCUCCCGGCCAGCCGCUGCUCCAGCCGCCGCUCCCAGCUUGCCCAUGCCCGUGGAAGCUCCGGACAGCGCGCCCCAAUAACCCCUGAGCUAAUCUAUUCAAACCCACGAUAUUUGGGACCAUCGGAACUGACUCCAGCCAAUCUCAGAACAUCAGAAGAAAGAAAACAAUUCCAGUGCUAUCAACAAAAUCUUAUGGCUUUUAACCUUGUUAAUCUCAGAGGGAAGGGCACACCUGUUAAAACAUGAAAUAUUACAAAUAUUAGCAUAUAAUAGAAGGAAAUCAUAGGACAGCUCAAGUUGAAGUACCAUUGCUAAAUUAAUGAUCUGCUGGUUGAGGCAGCUUCCCUCAUCUUUGUGCCUUUUUUCAGGAGUUAAUAAACAGGCAGAGUCAGCAAUGGUGAUGAUGCCAUUUGAGGCAUCCUAAUGUCACUACAGGGGUGAUGACACAGUGGAGGAGCAGAUGAGCAGGGAAUGGGGAGGUCAAAGAGGGCUCCCCACAAAAAAACCUGAGUCUCAUAUUCCCCAAAAGCCUGAAAAUUCAUGGAGUAUAUAAAAAAUAUAUUAAAAACUGUGGAUAUGUGUGAGAGGUUGUUGAAGCAGAGAAAAAUCUCUCUAUUUUAUGCACAUAUUGGAAAAAUAAUAUUCAUUUAUAUAUUAAAAAAAAAAAAAAGGAUUUAAACCCAAACCCCUGUGAAACCCCAUUCACCCUUGCAUGUGAAAAGAGCACGGAGCUGCUUCUUUCUGCUGCCUUCAGACACACACUGGCUCAGGACGAGUGUGUCAGAAUUGUUGAACAGAGAGUUUGUAAUCGGCUUUGUUCCAGAGAGCAACUCCAGGGAGCUUUUUAAGGCACUCUUCACUGGCUUAAGGCCUAAAGUUAAUCAGAAUGGAAAAGCAUAGCUGGGAUGGAUGAAUGAACUAGACCUUAGACAUGUAUAGCAUAGGGGAGCUUACAAAUGUAUUUCCAUAAUAACUGUCUCUACCAGGAGAAUUCUUUUCGUCCUCUGCUGUGCCAGCUCAGUACAUCUACCCAGGGCUCUAUGUCCUCCCUCCAUGCAUUUAGAAACCACCUUCCUACCUCCUGCAGACAAUGCAACAAAGUUCUGUGUAUCAACAAGUGAAAUCUUGAAAUUCUGUAACUCUCAGCUCUGCUGCUUGAGGCUUUUUGAAGAGUUUUACAAAGAAUCACAGCGUUAAGUAAGUGGCUCAGCUAAAAAUCUCUCUGUAAAGAUAUAUAGUACGAAGUCGUGAAAGUUAACAGCAAAAUAAAGUAAUAUUCUUGGGUUUU